AUACGGAGGGGGUUAGCGUUGUUCGGAAUUACUGGGCGUAAAGCGCGCGUAGGUUGUUUAAUAAGUCUGUUGUUAAAGACUAGGGCUCAACCCUAGGAAAGCAAUGGAAACUACUAGACUUGAGUAUGAUAGGGGUAGAGGGAAUUUCUAGUGUAGCGGUGAAAUUCGUAGAUAUUAGAAAGAAUACCAAUUGCGAAGGCAGCUUUCUGGAUCAUUACUGACACUGAGGAACGAAAGCAUGGGUAGCGAAGAGGAUUAGAUACCCUGGUAGUCCACGCCGUAAACGAUGAGUAUUUGGUGCUGGGGGAUUCGACCCUUUCAGUGCCGUAGCUAACGCGAUAAAUACUCCGCCUGGGGACUACGAUCGCAAGAUUGAAACUCAAAGGAAUUGACGGGGACCCGCACAAGCGGUGGAACAUGUGGUUUAAUUCGAUGAUACGCGAGGAACCUUACCAGGGCUUAAAUGCAGUUGGACAGGGGUGGAAACACCCCCUUCUUCGGACUGAUU
rnacentral:rRNA from 1 species